GACGAACGCUGGCGGCGUGCCUAAUACAUGCAAGUCGAGCGGAACUGGGGGAGCUUGCUCCUUCCAGUUUAGCGGCGGACGGGUGAGUAACACGUGGGCAACCUGCCCUGCAGAUCGGGAUAACUCCGGGAAACCGGUGCUAAUACCGAAUAGUUUGGCGCCUCUCCUGAGGCGCUACGGAAAGUCGGUUUCGGCUGUCACUGCAGGAUGGGCCCGCGGCGCAGUAGCUAGUUGGUGGGGUAACGGCCCACCAAGGCGACGAUGCGUAGCCGACCUGAGAGGGUGACCGGCCACACUGGGACUGAGACACGGCCCAGACCCCUACGGGAGGCAGCAGUAGGGAAUCUUCCGCAAUGGACGCAAGUCUGACGGAGCAACGCCGCGUGAGUGACGAAGGUUUUCGGAUCGUAAAACUCUGUUGUGAGGGAAGAACACGUACCAACUAACUAUUGGUACCUUGACGGUACCUCACCAGAAAGCCACGGCUAACUACGCGCCAGCCGCCGCCGUAA
rnacentral:rRNA from 1 species